AUACGUAGGGGGCGAGCGUUGUCCGGAAUGAUUGGGCGUAAAGGGCGCGUAGGCGGCCUGUUAAGUCUGGAGUGAAAGUCCCGCUUUUAAGGUGGGAAUUGCUUUGGAAACUGGCGGGCUUGAGUGCAGGAGAGGUUAGUGGAAUUCCCGGUGUAGCGGUGAAAUGCGUAGAGAUCGGGAGGAACACCAGUGGCGAAGGCGACUAACUGGACUGUAACUGACGCUGAGGCGCGAAAGUGUGGGGAGCAAACAGGAUUGGAUACCCUGGUAGUCCACACGGUAAACGAUGAAUGCUAGGUGUAGGGGGUAUCGACCCCUUCUGUGCCGGAGUAAACACAAUAAGCAUUCCGCCUGGGGAGUACGGCCGCAAGGUUGAAACUCAAAUGAAUUGACGGGG
rnacentral:rRNA from 1 species